rnacentral:rRNA from 1 species
AUUGAACGCUGGCGGCAGGCUUAACACAUGCAAGUCGAGCGAGCGGCGGACGGGUGAGUAAUGUCUGGGAAACUGCCUGAUGGAGGGGGAUAACUACUGGAAACGGUAGCUAAUACCGCAUACCAUCAGAUGUGCCCAGAUGGGAUUAGCUAGUAGGUGGGGUAAUGGCUCACCUAGGCGACGAUCCCUAUCUGGUCUGAGAGGAUGACCAGCCACAAGGUAACUGAGACACGGUCCAGACUCCUACGGGAGGCAGCAGGGGGGAAUAUUGCACAAUGGGAGCAAGCCUGAGGCAGCCAUGCCGCGUGUGUGAAGAAGGCCUUCGGGUUAUAAAGCACUUUCAGCGAGGAGGCGUUACUCGCAGAAGAAGCACCGGCUAACUCCGUGCCAGCAGCCGAGGUAAGUC